UACGAAGGUCCCAAGCGUUAUCCGGAUUUAUUGGGUUUAAAGGGUGCGUAGGCGGGCUAUUAAGUCAGUGGUGAAAGCUCUCGGCCUAACCGAGAAAUUGCCAUUGAUACUGAUGGUCUUGAGUACAUUUGAGGCGGGCGGAAUGUGUCAUGUAGCGGUGAAGUGCUUAGAUAUGACACAGAACACCGAUUGCGUAGGCAGCUCGCUAAACUGUAACUGACGCUGAGGCACGAAAGCGUGGGGAGCAAACAGG
rnacentral:rRNA from 1 species